GUACUGCUGAUGAGUCCCAAAACGGGAGGAAACGGCUGUCCAGUAC
rnacentral:hammerhead_ribozyme from 1 species